GGUAACAGAUAGAUCGAUGCCUA
rnacentral:siRNA from 1 species